CACGUAGGGUGCGAGCGUUGUCCGGAAUUAUUGGGCGUAAAGAGCUCGUAGGCGGUGUGUCGCGUCGGCCGUGAAAACCUGCAGCUUAACUGUGGGCUUGCGGUCGAUACGGGCAUCACUGGAGUUCGGCAGGGGAGACUGGAAUUCCUGGUGUAGCGGUGAAAUGCGCAGAUAUCAGGAGGAGCCCCGGUGGCGAAGGCGGGUCUCUGGGCCGAUACUGACGCUGAGGAGCGAAAGCGUGGGGAGCGAACAGG
rnacentral:rRNA from 1 species